GGGCAGGUACCAAAGCGGUCAACUGGGACAGACUGUAAAUCUGUUGGCAUUAGCCUUCGGGGGUUCAAAUCCCUCCCUGCCCACCA
rnacentral:tRNA from 1 species